GGAAGUCCAGGCUGCUCCUCCUCACUGACUUUGAGAACAAACUUUGCCCCCAUAUACGACCACGGGCAAAGAUUAUAACCCCUCUCUCUUUACAAAAACAGGAUGAAGACCAUGAGAUGCUGUUGAAAACUCUGGAAAAAGAAAAUUUCAGUUAGGACCCAAGCGACCAACCUCUGUGGCUGCGAAGUAAAGCCUAUGCAAAGUGCCAAAAACUGCAGUUCCUUGAACGGCCACUUGAGGCUGGCUACAGAACAAGAAACCUACAGUGGCUGUGAAACUUGUGAAAAACGCAUAAAGUCUCAUCUGGGCUGCUGUAGAAACAUAGUUGUUUAACAUAGUAUACUACAUGGAAGAGGACCCGCUCCAUCUGUAGAUAUAAAAGGCUUUU